rnacentral:rRNA from 1 species
AGCAGUCCAAAAUAUUAGUCAAUGCUCGAAAGAGUGAACUAGCUAACUGAAAUCAAUUAAAAUAAUUGAUAACAUAAGGGAAAAUAAUGAUAUUACCUUAUUAUUAGUGUCGUCCAAAACUGGUGCCAGAAGACUCGGUAAGGCCAGAGACACAAACGUUAAUCGUCUUAAUCAGGCGUAAAGGGUUUGUAGGCGGCUUUAAAAUUUACUUAUAACAAAUAAAUAAAUAAUAACAUAUAAACAAAUAAAUAAUAACAUAUAAACAAAUAAAUAAUAACAUAUAAACAAAUAAAUAAUAACAUAUAACAAAUAAAUAAUAACAUAUAACAAAUAAAUAAUAACAUAUAACAAAUAAAUAAUAACAUAUAAACAAAUAAAUAAAUAAUAACAUAUAAACAAAUAAACAAAUAAAUAAAUAAUAACAUAUAAACAAAUAAAUAAAUAAUAAGUAAAAAAUAAAAGCUAGAAUCAAAUAGAGGAUAUAUGAAAUAAUGCUUAGAGUAGGUCUGAUAUCCUUAGAUACUAAGUAGAAUAUUAAAGGCGAAAGCUUUUUUCCAUUAAUGAUUGACGCUCAGAAACGAAGGUGAGGAUAGGAAAUAGGAUUAGAUACCCAAAAUACCCCUCUCUGUAAACGAUGAAUGGUAGUUAUUAGUAAAAAUUAUUAAUGGCAAUGUUAACACGAUAACCAUUCCGCCUUGUGAGUACAACUGCAAAGUUGAAAACAAAAAAAUUAGUCGGUUUCGGAGCAAACGAAGUGAAGCAUGUUAUUUAUUC